CCUACGGGUGGCAGCAGUGAGGAAUAUUGGUCAAUGGGCGUAAGCCUGACCCAGCCAAGCCGCGUGAGGGAUGAAGGCUCUAUGGAUCGUAACUUCCUUUUAUAAGGGAAUACAGUGUGCGAUGUGUCCUGUAUUGUAUGUACCUUAUGACUAAGGAUCGGCUACCUCCGUGCCAGCAGCCGCGGUAAUACGGAGGAUCCGAGCUUUUUCCGGAUUUAUUGGGUUUAAGGGGUGAGUAGGCGGCCUUUUAAGUCAGCGGUGAAAGUCUGUGGUUCAACCAUGGAAUUGCCGUUGAAACUGGGAGGCUUGAGUAUGGUUGAGGCAGGCGGAAUGCGUGGUGUAGCGGUGAAAUGCUUAGAUAUCACGCAGAACCCCGAUUGCGAAGGCAGCCUGCGAAGCCAUGACUGACGCUGAUGCACGAAAGCGUGGGGAUCAAACAGGAUUAGAUACCCUAGUAGUC
rnacentral:rRNA from 1 species